AAUCCUUCCAGAAUUGCAUCAGUGUCUUCUCAGUGUCUUCCUCAGUUGUAGCAACAGCCUGGGCAAAAGUCCUCCUCAAGUAGUAGGCUUUAAAAGCUGCUAUAACUCCUUGAUCCAUUGGUUGGAUCAAAGAGGUGGUGUUUGGAGGGAGAAACACAACUUUGAUAUUGGGAUGAAGAUCACCAAUAAAAGAAGGACGUCCGGGAGCAUUAUCGACAGUAAGCAAAAUCUUGAAAGGUCAGUCACUUGAUGUGGCCUCUUGCUGGCAAUAUUAGCAAUGGAUUUUGUGUGCUUAGGGGCCAUGAUGAACAAAACAA